CGGGGUGUAGCGCAGCUGGUAGCGCGCUUGGUUUGGGACCAAGAUGUCGGGAGUUCGAGUCUCUUCACCUCGACCA
rnacentral:tRNA from 1 species